UCGCGGCCUAUCAGCUUGUUGGUGGGGUAAUGGCCUACCAAGGCGACGACGGCUAGCCGGCCUGAGAGGGUGACCGGCCACACUGGGACUGAGACACGGCCCAGACUCCUACGGGAGGCAGCAGUGGGGAAUAUUGCACAAUGGGCGAAAGCCUGAUGCAGCGACGCCGCGUGAGGGAUGACGGCCUUCGGGUUGUAAACCUCUUUCAGCAGGGAAGAAGCGAAAGUGACGGUACCUGCAGAAGAAGCACCGGCUAACUACGUGCCAGCAGCCGCGGUAAUACGUAGGGUGCGAGCGUUGUCCGGAAUUAUUGGGCGUAAAGAGCUCGUAGGCGGUUUGUCGCGUCGAUUGUGAAAGCCCGGGGCUUAACCCUGGGUCUGCAGUCGAUACGGGCAGGCUAGAGUUCGGCAGGGGAGACUGGAAUUCCUGGUGUAGCGGUGAAAUGCGCAGAUAUCAGGAGGAACACCGGUGGCGAAGGCGGGUCUCUGGGCCGAUACUGACGCUGAGGAGCGAAAGCGUGGGGAGCGAACAGGAUUAGAUACCCUGGUAGUCCACGCCGUAAACGGUGGGCACUAGG
rnacentral:rRNA from 1 species